CAUCUACCGGGGCAUCUGCACCCAGGCCCCCGUGCUGUGUGGGGUGACUUCAGUCCCACGGGCCAAGAGGUGAGGCAUACCGCCUGCUCCACAGCCCCGGCUCCAAGCUGAGCUUCAGGGGGCUGAAGACCUGUGUCGCCACCCUCUGGCUGGGCCUCGUGUCCCUCCCGAGCAUGGGUCCCAGGGCCAGCCCCCCAUGGGGUGACGCGCAGAGCAGAAGUGCCCUCCUGCCAAGCCCGGCGGCGGACCUGGAGGCCUGCAGGGCUGUGGCCCGCAGCUCAGCGCCAACGUGCAGGAAGUAGGGGCUGAGGAAGAUGCGUCGCUGCAGCAGCAGAAAGAAGAAGCAGGCGCUGUCCCAGAUGAUGCCGGCCUCCUCCACAGGCAGCCGGCAGUCCUGGUCCUUGGUCACCAUCGCCUUGGCUGUGGGACAGGACCCCCGGGGUCAGAGCCAGAGCGGGGCCGUCCCUGUGCACCCGGCCACCAGCCUCGCCCACUCACGAUCAUAGUAACCCUUGACUGUGCACACGAGGCUGAAGAGCUGGAUGACCCAGCAGAAGCUGGUCUGCAUUUGCUCCACAAAGACACAGGACAGGAGCUGGGGGAGGAUGAGGGUCAGGGGGCCGCCAGGGCGGGUGGCGGGCGGUGGGCGGCGGAGAGGCCAGGCUGUCUCACCGAGAGCAUGUUCUUGGAGACGAUAACUGUGACAUUGUAGAGGAUGAGGCAGUCCCACAGCACAAGGCGGGCCCGCGUGUCCUUCUGCAGCAGCGCUGCAUGCCAAGAGCAGCAGGUAGAAGCAGGCCAACAGAUAGCCCAGCCCGAAGACACUGAUGCGGGUGGCACCGGUGACGAACACCACCACCAGCACCAGCCAGAACAGGUAGCGGAACACAGCCACCUUCAGCAUAUCCAGGUUGGGCCCCUCAGCCCCAUCCGAUGUGCCUGA
rnacentral:lncRNA from 1 species